rnacentral:lncRNA from 1 species
CUCCAAUCUGGUAAACUGUCAUGGAUAAAUUAGUGCAAAUUAAAUACCUAACAUAGGAUGCAACAUAUAGCCCAAGACUGAGGAACAGUAACUGAUGUGUAGCAGAAUGGCACUCCUUCGGCUCCCACCCCUACGCUGCCACGAAGACUGCCUGGCUCCCGGAAGACAGCCUCCAACCCCUUCCACUGCUCCUUUCGGCACAAAGCAAGUUAGUAUCCAGCUUUGUCAUCAGAAUGGGUGAGUUCAUAUCCUGCUGUUAUCUGCAUGACUUGAGAAAUUACUUAAGCUCUCAGAGUCUCGGCUUCCUUACGUGUAAAACAGAA